rnacentral:rRNA from 1 species
GACGAACGCUGGCGGCGUGCUUAACACAUGCAAGUCGAACGGAAAGGCCCUGCUUUUGUGGGGUGCUCGAGUGGCGAACGGGUGAGUAACACGUGAGUAACCUGCCCUUGACUUUGGGAUAACUUCAGGAAACUGGGGCUAAUACCGGAUAGGAGCUCCUGCUGCAUGGUGGGGGUUGGAAAGUUUCGGCGGUUGGGGAUGGACUCGCGGCUUAUCAGCUUGUUGGUGGGGUAGUGGCUUACCAAGGCUUUGACGGGUAGCCGGCCUGAGAGGGUGACCGGCCACAAUGGGAAUGAGAUACGGCCCAGACUCCUACGGGGGGGAGCAGGGGGGAAUAUUGGCAAAUGGGGGGAAGCCUGAUGCAGCAACGCCGCGGGGGGGGUGACGGCCUUCGGGUUGUAAACCCCUUUCGCCUGUGACGAAGCGGGAGGGGCGGGAAUGGGGAAAGAAGCACCGGGUAAAUACGGG